rnacentral:rRNA from 1 species
UGGGGAAUAUUGGACAAUGGGCGAAAGCCUGAUCCAGCCAUGCCGCGUGUGUGAAGAAGGUCUUCGGAUUGUAAAGCACUUUAAGUUGGGAGGAAGGGCAGUAAGCUAAUAUCUUGCUGUUUUGACGUUACCGACAGAAUAAGCACCGGCUAACUCUGUGCUAG